AUACGUACCUGGCAGGGAGAUACCACGAUCGUGCAGGUGGUUUUCCCAGGGCACGACAUAUCCAGUGCCCUCCAGACAUGCUGACCCCUGCGAUUUCCCCAAAUGUGGGAAACUCAACUGCAUAAUUUUUGACAGUGGGGGAAUGUGUUCACGCUCUCCCCUG
rnacentral:snRNA from 1 species